rnacentral:lncRNA from 1 species
UGGAGAACAGAGCAAAGGAAAAGCAGAAACAACUCUACUAACACUGAGGCUGGAGGAAAAUGGAGAGGGGAGGAGGAGAGCACUGAAUGCUAAGAGCAGAGGUGGCUUGACAGCCUAUGGAGCCUGUUUUGCCCACAGUGAGAAUGGAGUAGAAAUUUGUUCCAAACACUCAAGAUCUGAUAACUGAUUCCCAUUUAGAUGUCAUUGAGACCUCUGGGAAGUACAGAAUAAUCAGAGCACAGCAGGCACCAGUCAUGAAUCCUCCAUUCUUCACAGCCAGCCUCUGACAUGCUCUGGUGGACAGGGAGAGGACACUGAGUGCAACGGCACAUCACCAAGUCAUCCCUUCUCUGAAAGGGGCCAUGCUUUCAGAGGCUGAAAAAUCAUCCCUGAUGCACCUUGUCUCUGGUAUCUAAAGGAUACAUAGACAUGUCCAGCACAAUCUAAGAACCACAUAUACUGAGUAGCAGAGGAUUCAAUAAAUCUUCCUAUUCUGUGUCCAGUUGCCUCUUAUUAAGGCUGGAAUUUAAUGAACAUAUCCUUGAAGACCCUUGCAAUAGUUUCCACAUUGGAGAUAAGUGGAACAGAGCUGGGAUAGGAACUGGAAGAAGUGAGAGGUGUGGACUUUCACAAAUUCUAAACGCUGCAGGUAUACUUGAUAUAAAAGAUCACUGUCACUGCCUCAAAACCAGACAAGGAAAGAAGGCAGCAGAUAUAUGAAGAAGAGGCAGCAGGUAUCAUUUCUGCCUGGCAUGAAGCAGACUACUAAUAUGGCUUCUAUGUUACUUCUUGAGAGAAGCAAUUGAAAAAAGAAAGGUUAAAAUGAUGCAAAGAACGGGCCCUUUCUCGCCAGAG